GAUGAACGCUGGCGGCGUGCCUAAUACAUGCAAGUCGAGCGAACAGAUAAGGAGCUUGCUCCUUUGACGUUAGCGGCGGACGGGUGAGUAACACGUGGGUAACCUACCUAUAAGACUGGAAUAACUCCGGGAAACCGGGGCUAAUGCCGGAUAACAUUUAGAACCGCAUGGUUCUAAAGUGAAAGAUGGUUUUGCUAUCACUUAUAGAUGGACCCGCGCCGUAUUAGCUAGUUGGUAAGGUAACGGCUUACCAGGGCAACGAUACGUAGCCGACCUGAGAGGGGAAUGGGCCACACGGGAACGAGGACACGGUCCAGACUCCUACGGGAGGCAGAAGGAGGGAAUUUUCCGCAAUGGGCGAAAGCCUGAGGGAGCAACGCCGGGGGGGUGAAGAAGGUCUUGGGAUCGAAAAACCCUUUUAUUAGGGAAAAAAAAAUGUGUAAGUAACUGGGCACGUUUUGGCGGUACCUAAUCAGAAAGCCACGGCUAACUACGU
rnacentral:rRNA from 1 species